GUGCUCACUUUGGCAGCAGAUAUACUGAAAUUAGAACGAUACAGAGAUUAGCAUAGCCCUUGUGCAAGGUUGACACACAAAUUCUUGAAGCGUUCCAUAUUUAU